UAAAUAAAUUUGGUUACUUGUUCUUAGCUUUUGGUGAAUAAAAGGAAAAAGUUCCCCCAACUCUAUAUGUUUUUGGAAUUUUUUGUAUUGUGCCUCCAAUUACAAGGAUUCCUGCAUCCGCCCCUGAUCUCAGUGGAGUUAUUUUCCCCUUUUAUAUAUGUGUAAUGUGUAUUAAUAUGUGUGUGAAUCAUGAUUUUAAUGCUUAUUAAAGUAAUUUAACUAAUAACACAGCGGCCCACAUUUCAAAUCAUGUUAUCAAAUCGUUUAGGUUCAUGUAUUUUAAUUCGCUCAAUAUGUUAUAGUCACUUUGAAGCCAUUACAAAUAACAUAAAGCAAUGUUUGUUACCAAUACCACCAAAAACACAUAUUGGCUGCUUCUGGUCUCUUCUAAAUGGCCACUCAAAUUUGUUGGAAAAGAACACUGUAGUUUUUUUUUGUUUUUUUUUCAAUCUAAAGAUAACUAAAUCUAUUUUGAAAAUAUUCUUUUGGAGGAAACAUGUAGUAAUUUUAGGAAUCUCUAAUACAUGGUCUUAGACCAUGAUUAUCGGUGGUUUUUAAAGGAAAAUGGUGAUUUAAUUAAAUCCAAAAAAAAUUAAAGGGGAGUUAUCGAUCAUUAAUGGGGCACUUUGGUUACCGAUUUUAAGCGUGGUUUUUGAACCACGUGUCAGCCACACAGAAUUUUUAUUUUUUUUCUUUUUCUUUUCUUUUCUUUCUUUUCUUUUCUCGUUGUUUCGUGUCUUCUCGUUUACUCCUUCACAUGCGAAGGAUCGAUACAGACGACGACGACGACUCUCUCGGUUGAGUCGACGUCUCCUCUGUAUCCUCAUUUGUUAUCGUUACCUUCGCGAAGGUCUUUCGUUAAAGCUUCGAAAAGCGACGAUGAGUUUUGUUCAGCUCCUUCGAUCACUGAAUCAGACGAGAAGCCAAAACCCAUUUACUGGAAAAGUCACGAAUCCAACACUCUCUCCUUCACGCCUCCAAGGUCAUUUAUCGGAUUAAGCUACCAGGACCUGCAAUACUAGGAGAGACAAUUUCAAUUGUUCAAUUUGUAUUUGUCAUCGUGGGUUAUGAUUGUUUAGUUGGUAAUCUGAUUCAUUAUCUUUGACACACUGAUACGUCCUUGAAUGUGGUCUAGUUCUGUUGCCUGUUAACAAGAGAGGACUGUUACAUUCCCCAAAAACUGAUCUCUGUCAGAAAGUAUCAAGCUUUGAGCUUGAUGAUUCUCUAGUUCAUUGUGUUCUUCCAAGAUUUGAGGUAGAAGAUGGAGUAUUUCAAAGAGAGGAAGUUCGCAGAGAAUGUGGUAAAGGUUUCACUUCUUCUAAAGCUCUUUUUGGUCACAUGGCUUGUCACUUUGAGAGAGUGAAGAGGGUGUCAUGUUCUCAUUUUUUUCAGGUCAAGAAGAGUGUAAAGUCGUUAGUCAUCAGUCACGAACUUGUGUAGUAAUCACUUGUGCAAUGCUUACGUACUAACUCUUGUAAUUUGUAUUCUUGCAAACUCUUGUAGUCAUCAGUCAGGACUUGUAAAGCUUUGUGUCUAUAUAAACUUGUGAACUCUUGUAGUCUUGUCUAUAUAAAUUUUGUAUACCAAACUUUUAUUCACAACACAACACUCUUCUUCAUUCA